rnacentral:rRNA from 1 species
GACGAACGCUGGCGGCGUGCCUAAUACAUGCAAGUCGAACGAGAGCGACCGGUGCUUGCACUGGUCAAUCUAGUGGCGAACGGGUGAGUAACACGUGGGUAACCUGCCCAUCAGAGGGGGAUAACAUCCGGAAACGGAUGCUAAAACCGCAUAGGUCUUCGAGCCGCAUGGCUUGAAGAGGAAAAGAGGCGCAAGCUUCUGCUGAUGGAUGGACCCGCGGUGCAUUAGCUAGUUGGUGAGGUAACGGCUCACCAAGGCCGUGAUGCAUAGCCGACCUGAGAGGGUGAUCGGCCACAUUGGGACUGAGACACGGCCCAAACCCCUACGGGAGGCAGCAGUAGGGAAUCUUCCGCAAUGGACGCAAGUCUGACGGAGCAACGCCGCGUGAGUGAAAAAGGUUUUCGGAUCGUAAAACUCUGUUGUUAGAGAAGAACAAGUGCUAGAGUAACUGUUAGCGCCUUGACGGUAUCUAACCAGAAAGCCACGGCUAACUACGU